GUAACGCAAAUAAGCUCUGAUUUAUUUGAUGAGCACUUCUUAUGCUUUUAUUUGAUUAGCUUUCUAUGCUAUGACUAAGACUGAUUCUUAUGAUUUUGUACUGACGAUCAUUACCUUACUUAGAAGGGAGUGAUGAAAAACAAUUAGCAGCAACAGUUGGGCCAAUUCAUCAAUCAGGAUAAUUAGCAUAACUGAUACUAUGAAUCAGGAUUAGAUUUUUUGGUUGUUUAAUAUCUUGAUCCCUUUUAUUUUGUGGCAAGAGAAAACUAAGAGGGAGUGAUGAAAAACAAUUAGCAGCAACAGUUGGACCAAUUCAUCAAUCAGGACAAUUAGCAUAACUGAUACUAUGAAUCAGGUUUACGGCCCAUAGUGUACGAUGCGCAAUGUUUUAAGCCGAUGAUCAAGGAGUAUAAGAGUCAAAGUCACCCUUCGGCCACCGUAGUCGCGGUUGACUCGACCUUUGUGAAAAAAUACCAAGGGAAGUAUACAUUAUCGUCUACAAGUGUCACCAAAUGCAUGAAGAUAAACAGUGAGAACAUUGCCAGGAAAUUGAGUUCAAAUGCAUCGGGUCAAAUCGGGACGAGGCGAGCCGAAGCCGAGCAUUACCAAAUCAAAUCGGGACAAGGCGAGGCGAAGCCGAGCUUAACCAAAUCAUAUCGGGACUGGGCGAGGCGAAGCCGAGCUUUACCAAAUCAUAUCGGGACUGUGCGAGACGAAGCCGAGCUUUACCAAAUCAUAUCGGGACGGGAGGGGGCGAGGCGAAACCCAACUUUACCAAAUUAUAUCGGGACGGGGUGAGGCGAAGCCGAGCUUUACCAAAUCAAAAAUAUGGUUCAAAGAAAGAGACAGUCCGUUCUAUUUGUAGUUGUAGAUUGAAUUGGUGAACCAAGUUUGCGAAGCCGCCCGGCGUAGCACGGACACAAAAUCUAGUUUAGCUUAGAGAGUUUUCGGUUCUCGAAUCUAGGUUUGUUUGGUCUUCUUUUGCCGAUUCUUUGUUCGUUAUAUCUUCCUCGCCAGGUUGAUGCUCCCACGGUCUCUGAUAUAUGUUAAGAUUGCUCAUUCAAUUCCUAUUCGCAAAUGGUUCGUCUCCUUGAAUUCGUUCGUCUCGUUACAUGUCUCCAUAAUAUGCUUGGGGAGGAUCGUCUACUACAUUCGUCGCUCGCUGAUUGCCGGCUCGCAAGACAAUUUCUUUCGUCGGGGCUGAUUAUGUUGUCGCCUCUCUUUGUAUUUCCUCCAACACUAUGUACUCUUCCUGAUGCUCUCUUAAUUCUUGCAUCUUCAACUUGUCUCUCAACCUAAAAAUGGGGGUAUACAAAAAAUUUGUGGGAAACAAUGCGUUAAUAAACGCCAGAACUAAGUUUUCUUC